UACGAAGGGUGCAAGCGUUACUCGGAAUUACUGGGCGUAAAGCGUGCGUAGGCGGUUUGUUAAGUCCGUUGUGAAAGCCCUGGGCUCAACCUGGGAAUUGCAGUGGAUACUGGCAAGCUAGAGUACGGUAGAGGAUGGUGGAAUUCCCGGUGUAGCGGUGAAAUGCGUAGAGAUCGGGAGGAACACCCGUGGCGAAGGCGGCCAUCUGGACCAGUACUGACGCUGAGGCACGAAAGCGUGGGGAGCGAACAGG
rnacentral:rRNA from 1 species